AUCCCUCGUUGGAGUACAAAAUUAUUCAGGUUUACCGAUCUUGACGACGCCCGUCUCUCGUCUCUUCCAAGCUUCCUCCCCGAUCUCCAUCGCGGCCUCUCUCCUAUCUAUCCCAUCUUAUCGCGAACCCAAGACCUAGGUUUCCAUCUCCUCUCUCCUAUCUAUCCCAUCAGAUCUGGAAGCCAAGACCUAGAGUUCCAUCUCCUCCAAGCUUACGGGUUCUCCGAUCGCUCUAAGAUUUUACGUUACAGCUUGUCUAGCAGUAGCCUGACCAGGACAAUCAGCUUAUCUGCUUAGCUGUUUGUAUCAGAAGUUAAAAUAUAUUUAAUUUUCCUUGCAGCUGUCUUUUGAAAAUGGCUAUGUAUAUUCGUGUAAAGCGCAACAAGACAACCUACUUUGUGCAGUGUGAUCCAACUGAGACAACUUUAGACAUUAAGCAGAAAUUGCAAACUUUGAUUGAUCAACCAAGCAAUAAUCAGCGUUUAACCUUGGCAUCAACUAAUGAUGUCUUAGAUGAUUCAAAGACAUUAGCUGAACAGAAGGUCGAGAAUGAUGCUGUUGUGGCAUUGACUCUCAGAAAAGAGUUCUAAGAGUAACUGAAGAUGAUACGAGGACAGCAGGCUGCAUCUCAAAAAUUUGGUCAAAGCACAACGAUGACAAUGAGUUUGAGGAAGUGUACAUUGCACAACCAGAAGUCUUGAAGUCAUUCUCUUGAUGCAGAGAAUGGCAGGGAACCAUUUGCUUGAAACUUCUCAUAUCUGUAAUCUCUUAAUGUGACAAAUCCUGUGCACCAGAAACGGAGAUCCGUUUUCACCUACAUGUAGUUUUCAAUUGUGCUCUUCUGUGGAUCUACUAUUAUAUACUUGAGUCCUGAUAGUGUUUGCUACAAAGUGAAGCAUAGCAAAGUUCACCUCAGGAGCUGUGUUCUUCCAUGUUUUGCUGCCAUAGUAUAUCAAUCUAUUAUUAAGAAAUCAUAUUGCCCUUUUGUGAUAA